GCCGAAGUGGCGGAAUCGGUAGACGCAGCGGACUCAAAAUCCGCCGCCCUUAAAAGCGUGUGGGUUCGAGUCCCACCUUCGGCACCA
rnacentral:tRNA from 233 species